AAUCAACAGUGAGACAUUCACAUGCAAACCAGGAGUCCUACCACAAUGGACAUUCAACAUCAGGUUUAUUAUGUGCAAGCUCAUCCAGUUCUUCCUGUAAAGGCACGAUUACAAUAGAUACGUUAAAGGAUGUGGCAGCAGGGGAUACUUACGGAAUCAACAACUACUUGGAUGACAAGUACAAACCAAGGACGACUGACGUCAUUAUGGAGAAGGUGGACAAAAUGAGAGGUCUCACAAUAGAAUAUGACCUCCUUGGAAGCAACUGCGAGCAUUUUGUAACUUUCCUCCGUUAUGGCGAAUUAGAGUCCAAACAGGCAGAUGACUUCAUGAAUAAUGUUGUCACUGGUUCUGCAAGCCUGCUUGGUGUACUGGGUGCUGUAUUUAUUGGUUUAGGAAUUAAACUUUGUAAAUAAGUUAUUGGGUCUCUCAUGAGUCCAUGGAGAAUGUCAGUGAUGCAAAAUGUUCUUUAUAGUCUAAUGAAUA